GAUGAAGAACGUAGCGAAAUGCGAUAAGUAAUGUGAAUUGCAGAAUUCAGUGAAUCAUCGAAUCUUUGAACGCACAUUGCGCCCGCUAGUAUUCUGGCGGGCAUGCCUGUCCGAGCGUCAUUUCAACCCUCAAGCCCCCGGGCUUGGUGUUGGGGGUCGGCGAGCCUCCGCGCCCGCCGUCCCCUAAAUCUAGUGGCGGUCUCGCUGUAGCUUCCUCUGCGUAGUAGCACACCUCGCACUGGGAAACAGCGCGGCCACGCCGUUAAACCCCCAACUUCUGAACGUUUGACCUCGGAUCAGGUAGGAAUACCCGCUGAACUUAAGCAUAUCAAUAAGCGGAGGA
rnacentral:misc_RNA from 1 species